AACCAGACUCCUACGGGAGGCAGCAGUGGGGAAUUUUGGACAAUGGGCGCGAGCCUGAACCAGCCAAGUCGCGUGAGGGAAGACUGCCCUAUGGGUUGUAAACCUCUUUUGUCAGGGAGCAAUUGGCGCUACGUGUAGCGUUAUCGAGAGUACCUGAAGAAAAAGCAUCGGCUAACUCCGUGCCAGCAGCCGCGGUAAUACGGAGGAUGCGAGCGUUAUCCGGAUUUAUUGGGUUUAAAGGGUGCGCAGGCGGAGGUGCAAGUCAGCGGUCAAAUUGCGGGGCUCAACCCCGUACUGCCGUUGAAACUGCAUCCCUUGAGUGCGCGAGAAGUAUGCGGAAUGCGUGGUGUAGCGGUGAAAUGCAUAGAUAUCACGCAGAACUCCGAUUGCGAAGGCAGCAUACCGGCGCGCAACUGACGCUCAUGCACGAAAGCGUGGGUAUCGAACAGGAUUAGAUACCCGAGUAUGU
rnacentral:rRNA from 1 species